GCACGUGGUCACUUAAUCAACAGUCUCUACUAUUUGCAUGCUGAUGCAGAUGAGUCAAUUAAUCUAUUCGAGCAAACUGUGAGUGUCAUUGGAUCUAAGAGAUCCAAAGAUGUGGUUAACUUAAAAUAUACACGAUACCUUAGGCUAGGUCAUAUCGGAGAAGAAAGGAUCAAUAGACUGAUAAAAGAUGAUCUUUUAGACUCAUUCUCAGAUGAGUCAUAUCCAGUCUGUGAGUCCUACCUUUAGAAAAAUAUGACCAAGCUUUGUAGGACA
rnacentral:lncRNA from 1 species